GUCCAUUAUAAUUGCCGCAAUCAGAUAGAGUACACCGUUUCGUUUAGUCACGUCUAGACCAUUAUAACUGUCGAUAGCAGAUGUUUACAAUUAAAAGAACAUCUGGCAACUUUACCACUGAAAACCAAAAUAAACCAAAAAAGAACGUCGUAAAGGAGAAUUAUUUUGAUCGAAGUCAAAUUUAAUUACAAUUUCUUCGCUUUGAAUAUCGAGAAUACAAUGAAAUAUGUUUUACGCAACAGUGAAAAUAUAUCUAAGCGUUUAUAAUUGUAAAUGUACUUAAAUAACUAAAGUAACCGCAAAGCAUUAGCUGAACUAAGUGAAGUUUUCGCAGAGGGCGACCAAGGGAGGAGUUAGUAAUUUGUGCCUUCCGACAAAAAAAAACUCUAAAAAGCCUCAGAUACAACAACAACAACAACAGCAAGCUGUUGGGCCCUAAUCACUAAAUUACAGUACCGAAAAUAUUGGAAACAAAAGAUAUACCUGCCACAAGAGGAAUAAGUGAAUAAGUCAGAUAAUGUUCGGUUCGCGCUGGCCGCGUUACCAAUAUGACCUGGACGAUUUGCGGCCCACCAAUGCAACUGAGUUAGUGCUUAAUCGUCAAUAUGGAGGUAUCGAUCGAUUUGUACAACGCCGACUCCAAGUAUCAUCGGCAUAUAUUGAUCGGCUCGAACAGGAGGCUACACUGCGUGGUCAUCAGGGCUGUGUUAAUUGUCUCGAAUGGAGCAGCAAUGGACGGAUACUAGCUUCUGGUUCUGAUGAUUUUUGUGUUAUGCUUUGGGAUCCCUUUCGUAAACGCUGCAUACGUAAUAUACCAACUAAACACUGUGGCAAUAUAUUCUCUGUGAAAUUUUUACCACGUCACAAUGACGCACUCAUUGCAACGGGAGCAGCUGACAGAUCAAUUUACGUAUUUGAUAUAAAUCGACCUAAUGAUGCAAUACUUAGUUGUAGUUGUCACGUUGGUCGUGUAAAACGUUUAGCUACUGCACCGGAUUCACCUUUUGUUUUUUGGUCAGCGGGGGAGGAUGGCUCAAUUCUACAGCUCGAUACUCGAGAUCAGCACCGCUGUAUCACGGAAGGAAACCGUGUACGCUUGAUAAGUCUUGCCACCUAUCUUGAUUCGAAUGCAGAGGCCAAAUGCCUGGCCGUCAAUCCAUUACGUACAGAACUUUUAGCAGUAGGUGCGAAUGAUCCAUAUGCACGCAUAUAUGAUAGGCGAAUGAUACGACCAGUGUCUUCGCAAAUUAGUAAUGGGACUGGAUUAGCCAGUGCUCCAGACACAGCGGAUGGCGUGAUACCUAGAGAUUGCGUCGCAUACUAUUGUCCUGGUCAUAUAAGUAAAGACAAUUGCAAAGUUGUCGAGCACGACACACGUGCCAUUACAUACCUCACGUUCAAUUCAAUCGGCACCGAAUUGCUGGUAAACAUGGGAGGUGAGCAUAUAUAUUUGUACGACUUGCAGAACGCAGAACAGCCCGUGUUUUUGAGUUUACCCGAAUACAAAUCACCACCGGCAACAACGUCCGAGUCGGAUAUGGAGUUGGCUGGAAUGCACCCACAUUUAAGUAGUAGUACUGGAAAUCAGAAUAUCGAAGAAAAUACCGCAGCUGCAGAAAGUGUAAUUAGUCCUGGCGACGCAUCUCAGGCAAGUAGCCGUCGCAAGUUGCCAGAAUAUAUUGAACGUUAUAAAAAAAUGGGAAAUGAUUUUCUAGAAAAUGAGAAAUAUCUUCGUGCUGUUGAAAAAUAUUCGGAAGCAAUUGAACUCGCUCCUAAUUGUUCGGUGUUAUAUCUGAAUCGUGCAACUGCAUAUAUGCGACGACUGUGGUAUGGUGAUGUAUAUGCCGCAUUAAAAGAUUGUCAUCAGGCAUUGCGCUUAGAUCCUUCUUACAUUAAGGCACAUUUUCGUUUAGCUCGUGCACUACUCGUACUUGGCAGGUCGCAAGAGGCAGAUGAAUGCCUUAAAGAAUUAAUAACACGUUUUCCUAGCUAUGCGAAUAACCAUGGCAUCAUGAUGCUACACAAAGAUAUUAAAGAUAAUCGACAAAUGUUACAAUCACAGAUGCAACAAAUACAAUCGGCACCGAUACCGACCAAUGAACAAUCACAUUACACUUUCAUAGAACGUACCGAUGCUGAAUAUCAAUGGCGUAGCAAAGCCAAGGAUUAUAGCAAACGUUAUGUGGGACAUUGCAAUACAACAACAGACAUUAAAGAAGCGAAUUAUUUCGGCAAGGAUGGUGAAUUCAUUGUGGCUGGUUCGGAUAAUGAAAGCUUUUUCAUUUGGGAACGUAAUACUAGCAAAAUACGCGCUAUCUACAAAGCAGAUGUUUCGAUUGUUAAUUGUGUGCAGCCACAUCCGGAGAUUUGUUUAUUGGCAACAAGUGGGAUCGAUCAUGAUAUAAAAAUAUGGUCGCCCAUUGCACCAUCACCGGAUGAACGUCCAAAUCUGGUGGAAUAUGUCGACAAAACCGUUGAAGACAAUCAACAAAAAAUGAAAAUGGAUCCUUUUAAUAUGAACGCUGGCAUGAAUGCUUUCUGUCUUAAUGGAUAAUAUGUGAUAAUUAUCUUCUUUUUUUUUUAUUGAUAAUUGGAACUUUAAUGUGGAAAAGCUUGGGACGGCCUUACAAAAGCCAUAGAAUAGUAAAUGGAUCGUAACUGAAAUUAUUUAAAAAAAAACCAAAAUUAUGUUAGCAGCACAGCGCAGCUUUUAAAAGGAUUGUGCCCUCAAUAAUGUCGGCUCUGACUCUAUAGCCGUCCGCGAAUUAUAUGACAUACAUAUUUGGAAAUGCAAAAUUAUAAUUUAAUAUAUUUCACCGUAGAUGGUACUGCUACGUUGAUGAUUUGAUGAAACCAGAAGACUUCUUUUCGAAAGGAUUAAAUUAAGUUUAAGUUAUUAUAACUAUGUAUUAGUUUUAAAUAAACGAAAUAUCAACAUUU
rnacentral:misc_RNA from 1 species